rnacentral:misc_RNA from 1 species
AAUCUCAUCAAUUCCAACACUCCCUCUUGACGAGGUUCUUAUUGAAACCAAAGACCAACUCAUAUGCACCAUAAAAGCCUCCAAAGACUGCAACAAGUCCAGCAACUAAGCAGGUUUACCAACACCCUCAAAGGGUAUGUGGAAUGGAUCAGCAACUCUCUUGGCUAAGCUCCCUUCUCCACAUCAAAAGCUCGAGAGGGGGAUAUGAAGAGAUCGAAAGAGGGCAUUGAGAUUUAAGUUUAAAUAAAAAGAAAGCACAUUCAUCAGGGCAAAUAGAUUCCGAGGCUGACAGGAAUGGAAUCGAAGACAAAGCGCCAAUAUAAAACAAGAGAACAGAAAGCGUAGCCAUUAAAGGGGCACAAAUCGACAAAAAACAAUAUCUCGAAGGCAAAUUUGAGAAACCCAAAAGACCAAACAACAAAAAAGGGUUACAGAGGAUGAACAGACCAAGCAGAAAAACAAGACGAAGGAAGAAAGAAAUGGCGAUCUCUCUCUUUGCGUUAAUUUAAUAAAACAAUGACAAAAAUGUUGAAAAUUGGUAUUGGUUUUUUUAUUGGUUCUGUCUCUGUGGAACCUUCUCUGUAUAACUCAGAAACUCUCUCUCUCACAGAAAGCUAACAUUAGACAAUAGCUAUGAAGAUCUGGCAUUGGGGGUGGGUGAGUGGGUGUCAAGG